rnacentral:lncRNA from 1 species
GUGCAAUUAAGUGCCAAAUGUAAAAUUACAUAAAUACCCCUAAAACUAGCUUUAGCUUUGAAUUUGACCCUUCCGUCUAACACGGGGAUGUCGGAAGAGAAGUCUCGUGGCUUACUCACGGUAGAUUAAACUGACAAACGAAAAAGGUUACAAAAGCCCAACCAGACCACCGCCAUCGCCAAACAAGGAUUCCUAUUUUGUGAUUUUGCAAUAGAAUGGAUUCUUAUGCAGGUGAUCCAUAUGCCUCUAUUUGGCACCUCUGCAAAACCCCUUCCUUUCGACUCCCACAAUCGCCUCCACCACCUCGCCCUUCCGCCGCAGACCCUCGCCGCGUAGAAUACUGUCCCUUUGGCCCUGUUCCUCAACAUUUACUUUCCCACUAUCUCUGCUUUAACCCAACCCCACCCAAUAGCCCCAAUAACCAACAAGAGAGCUGUUCGUCUUCCCUUCAAGAUUCACAAACACCCCUCAAUUCCGUGCAAGAUUCUCAACUACCCGUUAGUGAACUUUACCUGGAGAAGAAUGAUCAAGCUACGACUCCUCCCUGUUGCAAAGCGUGUCAUGAAGAAGAUCCACUCCUAUUACAAGGCUAUAUAGACACUUCCAUACUCUGCGUUAAUUUUCAAGAUUCCCUGCCCCCAAUGCCCCGAGAAGACGAAAGGAAUUUGGGGGCUGGAGACCCAUAUGGUGAAAAUUCAAUUUUGUUGCUGGAAGAGCUCAAGGAACUAGCUUUGUGGGAUCAAGAUUCUGUUAUGGAUGAUGAUGAUAUUAGGUACAUGGUUUCUGUCAUGUCCAAGUUUAGGAAACAUGCAUUUGUUUCAGAGACAAUUAUGAAUUCUAGGUAUGAGUUGAUGUCUGAAUUGCUGGAGUCGAAGAAACUGGAUAAAGUUUCUGAGGCAAAAUCGGAUAUAUACUUUACUCGAAGUAUGUUGGCAAAUGCUAAUGCUGCUGCGUGUAUUUUUACUGAUUUGGAUGAUUAUAAUUCGACUAAGAAGAAGUCUAAUGAGAAACGAAAAGAAUCCCAAGUGGAAUGUGAGGCUAAUUUGGUUUCGAAAUUGACUGAUGAAAGUGCCAAUCAUAAAAUCAUUGAUCUAAUAGAGGAUAUGCUAUCACCGCAGGAAAGAACAAAUGCCAAACCCAAGGUUAAUGCACUGGGGAAUCAGAAUAUGAAAACAAUUGGUUGCUUUAGUCAUUGUCACUCAAAUUUUGAACGCUCUAAAUCAUUAUCUAAGACAAGGAAGAUAUUGCUAGUGGAUUCAGAUGAGCCUUUGUUGAAAAGGCCAAAACAUUCCUUAGGUGCUGAUUGUAGAAUAAGUGUGCUAUAAAACAGUUGCCGCUUCGUUUGCUCUACAUUUUGGUAGUACAUUCAGAGAAUCAGUUUAAAGGAUAUAGCGUUAUCAUGUUUGUCAUUUUGUUUGGGAGGUUUUCAGUUGGUGCUUUUGAAAAUCCUUUUUGUUCAACUGUGGGAAUGAUGGAGUUGUUAUUGGUCGUCGUUUGUUAAAUUUCCUAUAUCUCGAGAGUUUCUCUAUAGUCAGUUUAGCUGGGAAAUUUGCGACCUGGAAGCCAGAAAUAUAAGAAGUAGGUAUCUCUAUGACCAACUUCUGUACAGUUAUUUGUAUCUGUUAUCGGUGGUUAUCUUUGGUGCUAAUAGGUCCUGUUUGACUCAAUGUCUCCAUAUUUGGAUCCUUUAUCUCUUGUUUAAUGCCUUGAAGUAUGAAUAGACUUUUCUUCGAAAAAUUUUAGUACGAAUAUAUCUGAAUCUCAUCUUCAUUAUUUAAUAGAGUGACUAUGUUUGUCUGUUGAACUUUAUAUCGGUAAAACUGUUGAUGUGGAGGCACAUUUUCAUCUUUAGAGGUUACUGUUGAUCUUUCCUAUAGGAGAAUAAAAGGCUAAACAAUGUAUAUCGGUUCAAUAAUAAUUAGAUGAAAACUGACCCAAAAAAAUUAAUUUUGUUCAGCUAAGUUUCCAGUCUCCAUUGGAUAUGAAUCAAUUUGGAAACCUGAGCCGUAAUACAAAUGUAACAUUUAUUAAAACAUGCAAAAACUUUUGCUUUAGUUAUAUAUCAUCUCAAUUAAUGUUACCGCAUGUGAUUGAUUUGUUGCAAGUCCCUGACCACAGAAAAUAGGAUAUCCUUAUUUGGAGUAACUUAAGUGGUAACCGACUUCUUCAUUUAUGUAUCUUUCGUAUGCCUUUAAAUUAUAUCUUCGGUGAUGAGAUUUUAUGCUUGGAAUACGUGUUCUCACAAGUUUUGGGGAGACAUGGUAUUCCAUUGAGUUGAUCUGAUGCUUCCUAUCAUUAAAUCCAUGUCCAUGAUAAUAAAAGGAGUUCCAUUAGAAUGGAUAAUCAAGACAUUUAUCUGAAAUUGAAUUAUUUCAGUGAUCUCAUAGUUUGAAUUUGUGAUUCAAGGAUGGUUGUGAGGCGAAGAUGUAAUAUAUGAGGGUGUUAAGCUUUUAUUUUUUCUAGAAUACAAUUAUUUGUUCAGGGUCACGACUAUAUUAGGUCAAGGACAUGACGAUAUUAUUAUGGUGUCCAUUCCAAGCUUCUAG